CUCUCUGGAUAUCCCAAACAACGGCGAAGACAGUUGGCUAAACCUAAAUCUUUUCCUCACUGUUCAAUGGCUAUGGUUCAGAUUAAUUUUACAGAAAUGCCACUGAGACGCCCUCAUUUCUUCCUUUGACUUUUAGACCUCUCACGAUACUCUUCUUCUCCUUGGCUUCGCUGCUAUUCUGCUCAUCGUCCCGUCACAUUGUUCAGCGAGCGUAGCAGCAGCUAUAACAACCGGCGAUUGGAUCAACGGAACCCUAAAGCAACUCUCCUUGGAUCAAUAAGUGGCCUCCGUCUUCUAGAAAGAAAUUGAACGGCGGAGGAGGAAGGAUAAAGAACUGACCGCGAUUGAGAGGAUCGUUCUUCGGCUAUCAGAACUUAGGAUUAGCUUCUGAAGACAGAGGAUAGUUUUUUUUUUUUUUUUUGUUUAACCUGGGGGUAUCCCAGGCCCAGAAGGCCCAGACUAAUCCCCAAGGGGAAGGAAUGCCCACGGAUAGACGCCCCUCUCAGUUUUUCAAAUGGGCCGAAAGCAUGGCCCAUAUCCGUGUGGGUGACAAGAGCGUUGCAAGGUAGUUCCCUCCGGCCUGGAAAGACAGAGGAUAGUUGAGGAUUAUAGGAAACUGAUUUGAUUUAACUCUAAUGAGUGAGCAGCGUCGAACUGGUGGCACGGUGAUAUAGAGAGCAGGAAGUGUGAUGCUGGUUUAUCAUAGGCGUGACUAUCAAGGACCUUCUGCAAAGAUUGCCGUGAAGCGAGGUGUCCAGGAUACAAAUAACAAACUGAUGGCGGAUGAGAUAAAGACAUUGACAGGGGGUGUCUUGCUACUCAUAAACAAGUAUUACAUUGUAAUAUAACGUGGAAAGGACUUCCUUCCUUCGAGUGUGGCACGACAAGAAUUAACAAAAGAGAUUCAAGAUGUCGAAGAGAGGGUAAGAAAUCGAGACAUUAAAGCUACUCAGCCUGUUGGAGACAAAGUACCAGCGGAAGCUGGCACUCUGGCCAAAUUUUAUGAGGCUCAAGCUUGCUGGAGAAAAGAAUAACACCGGACCAUCGAAAAAGAUGAUUGAAGAUGCUUCAAGGAUCGCAAGUGCCAGAGUUGUGAAACGAAUCCAGCACAAACUAAACCUUGUAUAUCCGUGGUGUGUUCGACGGGGUGAUCGAGAAUAUGCAUCUGCAUUGGAAGCACAAGGUACUGGUGAAGCUUAUAUCGAAACAGAGGAGGAGUUUUGCGUUUGUUGAAGACACAGCUCGGUUUACUAGAGAAUACGAGAGCGGUGGAGUUCUUGUGGCAAUAGAGAAGGUUCCUAAAGGGUUUGCACUUAUCUAUUACCGUGGAAAGAAUUACCAGAGACCAAGAAAUCUCCUGACAAAAGCAAAAGCAUUGAAACGUUCCAUUGCUAUGCAACGCCGUGAAGCAAUGGAACGUUCCAUUGAAACGUUGCAUUGAAACGUUAUAUUGAAAUGUUCUGCUCUUUUCACUUCAUUCACUACUUAUUGGUUCUUGCAGACUUCAAAAAAAAACGUCAUAGAGUGAAUCAGAAUGGGAGAAUGAUGAUGAUGACGAUGGCGAGGAGGAGAAAGAUGAUGAGAGUGAUUGGGACAGAGCCGGUCCUAGAAAUAUUUAGGCUAGAAGCCAAAAUUUUUUUUUGGCAUGUUAAAUAUUUAAAACAAAAAAAAUUGUAAAAAGAAUGACACAAGAGUUUGAACCCAUGACCUGAUCAAGCCAACUGUAGUACAAUAACCAAAUUGCCUGAAGAGAGUUUUGUUACAAAAAGGAGUUUUGUUACAAAAAGGGCCGGAACUUUUCUAAAUAUUUCACAGUUGGAAGCACGUGCUUCACCUGCUUCUAUCAAGGGCCGCUUCUGGAUUGGGACGUAGUUUUGAAGAAGAAGCUGAUUAUCCAUUACGCUAAGGAUAAAGCGUGCAUCUUUUUUUUUCUUAUCUCAGGAUAUUAUAGCUGAGACUGAGAGUGAUCUCGGUGUCUGUCUGAUGUUAUGAAACAUAAAUUGAUUUUGUCUAUUGCUGAGAAAACAAGAGUAAGUGAAGAUUUUAGAAUCA